rnacentral:rRNA from 1 species
ACGGGGUGCAGCAGGCGCGAAACCUUCNCAAUGCGCGCAAGCGCGACGAGGUUAUUCCGAGUGAUUUCCGCUGAGGAAAUCUUUUCUCAGAUCUAAAAUGUCUGAGGAAUAAGGGGAGGGCAAGUCUGGUGUCAGCCGCCGCGGUAAUACCAGCUCCUCGAGUGGUCAGGGCGUUUAUUGGGCCUAAAGCAUCCGUAGCCGGCUCAGUAGGUCUCCUGUUAAAUCCAACGGCUCAACUGUUGGUCUGCAGGAGAUACCACUGGGCUAGGAGGCGGGAGAGGCGGACGGUACUCCGAGGGUAGGGGUAAAAUCCUUUGAUCCCCGGAAGACCACCAGUGGCGAAGGCGGUCCGCCAGAACGCGCUCGACGGUGAGGGAUGAAAGCUGGGGGAGCGAACCGGAUUAGAUACCCGGGUAGUCCCAGCUGUAAACGAUGCGAGCUAGGUGACACAAGGCCUUCGGGGCCUUGUGGUGCCGCAGGGAAGCCGUUAAGCUCGCCGCCUCGGGAGUACGGACGCAAGUCUGAAACUUAAAGGAAUUGGCGGGGGAGCAC